GAUGAACGCUGGCGGCGUGCCUAAUACAUGCAAGUCGAGCGAAUGGAUUGAGAGCUUGCUCUUAUGAAGUUAGCGGCGGACGGGUAAGUAACACGUGGGUAACCUGCCCAUAAGACUGGGAUAACUCCGGGAAACCGGGGCUAAUACCGGAUAACAUUUUGAACCGCAUGGUUCGAAAUUGAAAGGCGGCUUCGGCUGUCACUUAUGGAUGGACCCGCGUCGCAUUAGCUAGUUGGUGAGGUAACGGCUCACCAAGGCAACGAUGCGUAGCCGACCUAGGAGGGUGGUCGGCCACACUGGGACUGAGACACGGACCAGAGUCCUGCAGGAGGCAGCAGUAGGGAAUCUUCCGCAAUGGACGAAAGUCUGACGGAGCAACGCCGCGUGAGUGAUGAAGGCUUUCGGGUCGUAAAACUCUGUUGUUAGGGAAGAACAAGUGCUAGUUGAAUAAGCUGGCACCUUGACGGUACCUAACCAGAAAGCCACGGCUAACUACGUGCCAGCCGCCGCAGUAA
rnacentral:rRNA from 1 species